GACGAACGCUGGCGGCGCGCUUAACACAUGCAAGUCGAGCGAGAACCAGGACUUCAGUCCUGGGGACAGCGGCGAACGGGUGAGUAACACGUGGAUAACCUGCCCUCGGCACCGGGAUAGCCCGGGGAAACCCGGAUUAAUACCGGAUGGCCCUUCCGGCUCACGAGCCGGUCGGAAAAGGUAGCUUCGGCCUCGGGCCGAGGAUGGGUCCGCGGCGGAUUAGCUUGUUGGUGGGGUAACGGCCUACCAAGGCUCCGAUCCGUAGCUGGUCUGAGAGGACGAUCAGCCACACUGGGACUGAGACACGGCCCAGACUCCUACGGGAGGCAGCAGUGGGGAAUCUUGCGCAAUGGGCGAAAGCCUGACGCAGCGACGCCGCGUGAGGGAGGAAGGCCUUCGGGUUGUAAACCUCUUUCAGGAGGGACGAAGCUACUCGGGUGAAUAGCCCAGAGGGUGACGGUACCUCCAGAAGAAGCCCCGGCUAACUACGUGCCAGCCGCCGCCGUAA
rnacentral:rRNA from 1 species